rnacentral:rRNA from 1 species
GAUGAACGCUAGCUACAGGCUUAACACAUGCAAGUCGAGGGGAAACGACAUCGAAAGCUUGCUUUUGAUGGGCGUCGACCGGCGCACGGGUGAGUAACGCGUAUCCAACCUGCCCAUCACUUGGGGAUAACCUUGCGAAAGUAAGACUAAUACCCAAUGAUAUCUCUAGAAGACAUCUGAAAGAGAUUAAAGAUUUAUCGGUGAUGGAUGGGGAUGCGUCUGAUUAGCUUGUUGGCGGGGUAACGGCCCACCAAGGCAACGAUCAGUAGGGGUUCUGAGAGGAAGGUCCCCCACAUUGGAACUGAGACACGGUCCAAACUCAUACGGGAGGCAGCAGUGAGGAAUAUUGGUCAAUGGGCGAGAGCCUGAACCAGCCAAGUAGCGUGCAGGAAGACGGCCCUAUGGGUUGUAAACUGCUUUUAUAAGGGAAUAAAGUGAGAGUCGUGACUCUUUUUGUAUGUACCUUAUGAAUAAGGACCGGCUAAUUCCGUG